rnacentral:rRNA from 1 species
UUUUAAAUAAAUUCUGCUCAAUGAUAAACUUAAAUAGCUGCAGUAAAUUAACUGUACUAAGGUAGCAUAAUAAAUUGCUUUAUAAUUGAAAGCUUGAAUGAAGGAAACAAUGAAAAACAAACUUUUUAAUCUAAAAAAGUAAAAAUUAGUAUUUAAGUGAAAAAUCUUAAAUUAAAUCAAAAGACAAGAAGACCCUUUAGAACUUUACAAGCCUCACCAUCUUAACUGAAUUGUCUUGUUAAAUUGGGGAGAUUUUUAAAUAAAUAAAUCUUUAAAUAUAAUAAGAUGAUAUACUUCAAAUUAAAUUAUCCACGUAUGAACUAAAACAAGUUACCUAAGGGAUAACAGCGCAAAAUUUUUGAGAAGAUCUUAUUCACAAAAUACAUUGCGACCUCGAUGUUGGAUUAAGAA